GAAAGUAGGUCCUUCGAAACCGGUUUAUAGGAAUUGGUUUAAAACAGCCGUAAGCCGCUUAAGCACGAAAAGGAUGCGGUGGUGAACGUUAACGUUAUGGUUAAAAGCCGAGAAUGAUCUCAGCAUG
rfam:Desulfosporosinus acidiphilus SJ4, complete genome.